rnacentral:rRNA from 1 species
GAUGAACGCUGGCGGCGUGCCUAAUACAUGCAAGUCGAGCGAACGGACGAGAAGCUUGCUUCUCUGAUGUUAGCGGCGGACGGGUGAGUAACACGUGGAUUACCUACCUAUAAGACUGGGAUAACUUCGGCAAACCGUAGCUAAUACCGGAUAAUAUUUUGACCCGCUUGGUUCUAAAGUGAUAGACGGUCUUGCUGUCACUUAUCGACGGAUCCGCGCUGCAUUAGCUAGUUGGUAAGGUAACGGCUUACCGAGGCAACGAUGCAUAGCCGACGUGAGAGGGGGAUCGGCCACACGGGAACUGAGACACGGUCCAGACUCCUACGGGAGGCAGCAGUAGGGAAUCGUCCGCAAUGGGCGAAAGCCUGACGGAGGAAUGCCGCGUGGGUGAUGAAGGGCUUCGGAUCGUAAAACUCUGUUAGUAGGGAAGAACAUAUGUGUAAGUGACUGUGCACAUCUUGACGGUACCUAAUCAGAAAGCCACGGCUAACUACGUG